CCCAGGCCCUGCCCAUUCCCCGGACCCCGCCCACCUGCUCCGGCGUUCUGUCUAGGCCCCGCCCACAAGAGUCCCACCCACUUCUCUGUCAUUCUUCCCACUCUCCCCAGGCUCCCAGCGGUUUGCAUUCGGUCCCGCCCACUCCCCAGUCUCUCCCGCCUCCCCGAGAGUCACCCCCUUUCCCAGCCCGGGAAGUGGGCGCUGCCGGUCCUCCUGCCCCACCCCUUGAUCGGCCUUAGUCCAGCACCACCCUCUCCCCAGGCUUCGCCCCGCUGUGGUCUCUUAUCUCCAGCCGUACCCCCUUUUUCUCUGUCGCACCUUUCCAGAGCCCAGCGCCCUCUUGCAGUCCAAGCCUGAGACCGUCCCCAUCGCUCACCCGACUCCCCUGGAGACUUCAGGGCCUGCCAGUCUGCUCCGUCUUUUUCCUUUAGGCCCCGCCUCUGUUAGGCCCUCCUUUCUUCCAGACCCCAUUCACACCCCAGAGCCCACGCCGGAGCCGGCACCCCCCCCCCCGUGUGGGAUGGAGGGGUGUAGUUAACUCCCUAACCUACAGAAAGAGGCCUCGGUUUCCCAGACCGCGUCUUGCCUCGGGGAGGGCCCGCCCCACUGGCCAUCUAGGUGCCUCCCAAAAAUGGGACACUGCCCCUUCCCAUGAUGGUCUUCACCAUCCCUGUUGGCUUCCCCCACUUCACCCCUCCUGGCUCGUGAACUCUCACCCCAGUCUGGGUGGGUACACCCACCUCAUUGCUCCCCGACUCUGCCUCGCAAUCGAUCAAAUUCAACACCGGGUCAAGGCCCUGUGCAGACGAUCCCCACUCACUCUGCUGCUGAGCUCCGGGACCACCAAGAUGUUGGUGGCUUUGUACCUGCUCUGCUGGUGCGAGUGGGAAGCCCUGCCCGAGGCAGCAGGUGUCCCGUCUCUUUUACUACUGAGAUGGGAACGUUCCCGCUCCGUGGUGUAGAAGAAACCUUUCACUGAGGAAAAGCCAUAGAUCAGCCCGGGAGAGAUGAUCCAGGAGAGUCCAGGGCCUGAAGGAGAGCUCAGCAGCCAUCAUCAACACCUAUGUGUCAUGGCCCAGAUGACCCCAGGGAACCCACGGCCCCACUCCCUGUCGCUGUGCCUGCCAGACCCUGGCUCCGCAGCAGGAACAAUGACCACAUCACCAACUACACCUGCACGGGGCACCCUGCUCAUGUCCAACACCAGGCCAGUGGGCAGGGAGGGCAGAGCUCAGGAAGCGUCUCCACCCCACCAGCCCCGCGGAUCUCAGCGCCCCUCCUGCCAGGACGUCCCUCCACUCGGAGCAGGCCUCCUCCGGGACGCACUGCAUGUAUCUGGGGUGAGUGCUGGCAGGAGGUGGCCACAUGCCCGGCAAGGCUAGAGGACACUCCAUUGUCCCCUCCACCCCCACGCCACCCCCACCCUGUACCGGGUGCAGCGGUGCCAGGCACCGUGUGCCCAGAGCUUGUGUUGCCCCUGGAGUUGGGAGGGCUUCUCUCCUCUAAAGACUCAUUCAGCAUCUCUGCUCCAGAACAGUAACUUCCAGAACCCUCCUCCUCCCCUGCCCACAGCUGGAGAGGACCCAUGCCAGGCUGGUCCACACGCAGGACUGAGUUCUGCCAGGGCAGAGGGAAAGAAAACAAGACCCAGCCGAGGUAGAGGUCUGAGGC